AGAGUUCGAUUAUGGCUCAGGAUGAACGCUGGCGGCGUGCCUAAUACAUGCAAGUAGAACGCUGAAGCUUGGUGCUUGCACCGAGCGGAUGAGUUGCGAACGGGUGAGUAACGCGUAGGUAACCUGCCUCUUAGCGGGGGAUAACUAUUGGAAACGAUAGCUAAUACCGCAUAAAAGUCGAUAUCGCAUGAUAUUGAUUUGAAAGGUGCAAUUGCAUCACUAAGAGAUGGACCUGCGUUGUAUUAGCUAGUUGGUGAGGUAACGGCUCACCAAGGCGACGAUACAUAGCCGACCUGAGAGGGUGAUCGGCCACACUGGGACUGAGACACGGCCCAG
rnacentral:rRNA from 1 species